rnacentral:rRNA from 1 species
CGGGGGGAGCAAGCGUUGUUCGGAUUUACUGGGCGUAAAGGGCGCGUAGGCGCCACCGCAAGUCGACUGUGAAAUCGUCCGGGCUUAACCCGGAACGGUCAGCCGAUACUGCGGGGCUAGAGUGCAGAAGGGGCAACUGGAAUUCUCGGUGUAGCGGUGAAAUGCGUAGAUAUCGAGAGGAACACCUGCGGCGAAGGCGGGUUGCUGGGCUGACACUGACGCUGAUGCGCGAAAGCUAGGGGAGCGAACGGGAUUAGAUACCCCGGUAGUCCUAGCCUUAAACGAUGAAUGCUUGGUGUCUGGGGUUCUAUAGUCCCCGGGUGCCGUCGCUAACGCUUUAAGCAUUCCGCCUGGGGAGUACGGUCGCAAGACUG